rnacentral:lncRNA from 1 species
CCCCCCUUAAUCUUGUUAAACAUAAAUUUCUGUUGCCAUACAAAAUUUAACACUAUUUAUUUAAAUACAAAUGUACCCCAAACUGGGGAAAGUGUAUAGGUACUAUAAAUACAUUGUCAUCUGGCCUAAAAAAGUGAUAAAUUUGUAACCAACUAAGCUUUAAACUCAAGUCUAAAAUUUCAGGACUAGAGACAGGGAUUUAGCUCAGUAGCACAGCGCCUGCCUAGCAACCGCAAGGUCCUAAGUUUGAUCCCUGGUACUGCAAAAAAUAAAUAAUAAAAUAAAAUUUCAGGACUAAUUUAGUUUUAUAGAUUGAACUGUAAGAUUUAUAUUUGAAGUACUAGAUAAAGUUUUCAUUAUUUAGGCACAAUUGUGAUGAUGGGAAAACUGAUUUUUUUUCUCUGUAUUUUAAGGUCCCUGACCCAAAGGCCAUUUUGAUUUUUAGUACUCGUUAGUAUUUCAGUAUUCACUUCAUACUCUGGCCUUGAACUUUGUAAUCCUUCCUGCCUCAGCCUCCUGAGUGCUAGGAUUACUGGUAUGUGGCACCACAUCUGGCUAAAAUAGAAUUUGAUAGAAGAUAAUUCUUAAUUCUUUUGAGAUGAAAUCUUGUUUUCUGAAUUGAUGACAAAUUUAAAAGUUAUAUCCCUGUUUUUACUUAUUUAUGUAUGUUUGGUUUUUUCUGUGUGUUUUUUUGGUACCGGGGAUUGAACUUGGGUCCUUGCACAAACGGUGAAACCACUGAGCUAAAUCCCCCCCAACCCUCUAUGUUUGUUUUUUUUGUUUGGGGGCAUUCUUCAAUUUUUUCCUUUUUGUGUGUUAGGUAUGUCGGCUAUACCUAUAACCCAGCUACUCAGGAGGCUGAGGCAGAAGAAUCUCAAGCCCAAGGCAAACCUGGGCAACCUGGGGAUCCUGUCUUAAAUACUGAAACAGAAAGGGCUGAGGAUGUUGCUCAGUGGUAGAGCACUUGCCUAGCUCAGUCCCCAGUACUGGGGUGGCAGUGGAGGGGGAGGUGUUGUUAAAGUUACCUCAAAGUGAUUUGUUAUACAUGUAGGAGAUUUUAAUCUCAGCAUAUCUAUCUUCUGGAGGGAAAAGUCUUGUUUCUUUUAUUUUUAAAAUAAAUAUUAAAUAUGUUAAAAUUGUCUCUUAAGUUACUAGUUUUAAUUUAAUAAAUUG